GAAGUGGCAGAUGGGUUGAUUUUCUUUGGAGAUGAUAUGACUGUGAGUGAAAAAAGUGUGACCUAUCCUGAGACGCGCAAUUUGGACUUCACAUGAUCUUGUUUUGUGGUUAGAUGUUCUUGGAUAUGGCAUGGGGGCUCUACGGAGAGAGGGCUUCAACUGAGCCAACACCUGAAAUAUGAAAAUUUGUGUUCCUCAGGCAAGAUGUGCCCGCCUUAAAAGUGGAAAUCAAAACUGGAGUCUGGCGAAGAAAUUUGAUCGGGGUCAAAGAUUUCGUUUUUGCUUUUCAGUGUUAAACGCUCUUUAAUGCACUCAAGACACGGAGUUAAAAUUUCUGGUCAUAAGAAUCUACAUUUAAUAACGCUAUGCUUUGAACCAAACAACACAUCGAGCCAUAUCGAAUAGGAUCCAUAGGGGUAAUCUCACUUUUUCUCUCGCAUCUAAUCACAUUUUCCCUGACUUCAACACGUUUUCCGAACUGUGCCUCAAUACCUAUUUUUCAUUUUACUUUGUUAUUGAUGAUAUGCAAACAAUAAAGACUGCAUACCUAUCUUGUAAUUCAUAAAAAUACGGAUCACAGUAAAACUGCCUUCAAGUGUUGCUCAUCGUGUCAAAUACCUACGUAAACUUGUAAAUGAAAAAAUUAUUUGUCUACGACGUUCUCAUUCAUUAAUACAAAUGCAUUUUUACUUCUAGCGGUUCCUUCUGCCAGAUUUUUACCAAUCGCGGAGGUACAUACAGUUUGGCCAUUAUUCACAAAAGUAAUCUAAACUUAAGAAUGCCGUGUCGGAAGAAUAAUAUGACUGAUCGCGUGAAACGCAUCAGGUACAAAACCAAGAGAGUUCUAAGGAAAAGAAGGCGCGUUGAAGAAAAAAACGCUGAAUUUCGAAACGAAAACUCGAUUCAAGAUUUCCCUUGCAUCUGCAAUCGAAAGCCGACAGGAAUUUACUGUCAUCUCUGUAGAGUUUACACACCAAAUGUUCGGUUUAGACGAGCAUGUUAUCGCCAUCCGCGCACUAUCAAUCAUACAGAUCUGCUGGAGUGUCCAAAUUGUUCUGAGGUGACAGAUCUCCAAGAGCUUCGGGAAACAAAUCUUCGCUGAUUUUUCGUUGGUUCUCUUGAUUUUCAACUUAUCUUAUCGCGUGUAACAUGCCUAAGUCAUGAUUGAUAUUUCCUCUCGAAACUUUUGUUGACACUUUUUUUCUCAGCAUGUGAUACUAUGAUUGUUCUUUCUAAGUUAAUUAUUUAGCCUCAGAAUCAAAUAUUAUGUACCCAAGAAUCAGCAUUCUCGUUUCAACUGUCAAAAGGAAAAAUUAAAAAAAAACGUUUUCAGAAUAUUAUUUCGUAACAAAUUUGUCAUCCGUUUUUAGACAAAAGUUUUCCUCUAAUCAUGUACGAAUAAGUAUAUUCCUCCAAUAAAUGAAAGUAAAUUAUAGAAGAAGGUGAUUGGCUCAUUCAGCGGCGUAAACUUCUAGGUGUUUAGAACGCUUGGUACCUCCCUUUUCCAUGACCUGCGAAUCUACCGAGGAAAAUCUCAUAUUCAAUUGCUCCUCAUAUAUUUUUCCCCGUAUUUUCCUGCGAGGAAUUUGUGAUUCAAAGAUGUAGCUCUCAUGAGAAAUUUCAGCUCAUUCCACAAAACGUGUUGUUACAAGAAACUAUAAUGUUUUGCAAGGAGUUGGCUUAGUAGUUUUAGUGGAGAAAAAUGAGUUAGGAAAAAUAAUAAAAGAAAACUGAUCGAAAA